UACAGAGGGGGCAAGCGUUAUUCGGAAUUAUUGGGCGUAAAGGGCGCGUAGGCGGCUUGGCAAGUGGAAGGUGAAAUCCCUCGGCUUAACCGAGGAACUGCCCUCCAAACUGCUUUGCUUGAGGCCGGGAGAGGUGAGUGGAAUUCCCAGUGUAGCGGUGAAAUGCGUAGAUAUUGGGAGGAACACCAGUGGCGAAGGCGGCUCUCUGGGACGGUACUGACGCUGAGACGCGAAAGCGUGGGGAGCGAACAGG
rnacentral:rRNA from 1 species